UACGUAGGGGGCUAGCGUUGUCCGGAAUCAUUGGGCGUAAAGAGCGUGUAGGCGGCUCGGUAAGUCCGCUGUGAAAGUCCAGGGCUCAACCCUGGAAUGCCAGUGGAAACUGUCGAGCUAGAGUCCGGAAGAGGCGAGUGGAAUUCCUGGUGUAGCGGUGAAAUGCGCAGAUAUCGGGAAGAACACCCGUGGCGAAGGCGGCUACUCUGGGACGGUACUGACGCUGAGACGCGAAAGCGUGGGGAGCGAACAGG
rnacentral:rRNA from 1 species